UACAGAGGUCUCAAGCGUUGUUCGGAUUCAUUGGGCGUAAAGGGUGCGUAGGUGGCGCCGUAAGUCGGGUGUGAAAUUUCGGAGCUUAACUCCGAAACUGCAUUCGAUACUGCGGUGCUUGAGGACUGGAGAGGAGACUGGAAUUCAUGGUGUAGCAGUGAAAUGCGUAGAGUAUCGGAGAUACGAUGACUGGCGAAGGCGGAUGUCCUGGACAACAUCCUGACACUGAGGCAC
rnacentral:rRNA from 1 species